rnacentral:rRNA from 1 species
UGGGGAAUAUUGCACAAUGGGCGAAAGCCUGACGCAGCGACGCCGCGUGGGGGAUGAAGGCCUUCGGGUUGUAAACCCCUUUCAGCAGGGACGAAGCGAGAGUGACGGUAGGGGCAGAAGAAGCGCCGGCCAACUACGUGCCAGCAGCCGCGGUAAGACGUAGGGCGCGAGCGUUGUCCGGAUUUAUUGGGCGUAAAGAGCGUGUAGGCGGCCAGGUAGGUCUGCUGUGAAAACUCGAGGCUUAACCUCGAGAUGUCGGCGGAAACCAUCUGGCUAGAGUCCGGAAGAGGAGAAUGGAAUUCCCGGUGUAGCGGUGAAAUGCGCAGAUAUCGGGAAGAACACCCGUGGCGAAGGCGGUUCUCUGGGACGGUACUGACGCUGAGACGCGAAAGCGUGGGGAGCGAACAGGAUUAGAUACCC